rnacentral:rRNA from 1 species
UUCGGGGGACGAUAACGGCGUCGAGCGGCGGACGGGUGAGUAAUGCCUAGGAAAUUGCCCUGAUGUGGGGGAUAACCAUUGGAAACGAUGGCUAAUACCGCAUAAUGCCUACGGGCCAAAGAGGGGGACCUUCGGGCCUCUCGCGUCAGGAUAUGCCUAGGUGGGAUUAGCUAGUUGGUGAGGUAAUGGCUCACCAAGGCGACGAUCCCUAGCUGGUCUGAGAGGAUGAUCAGCCACACUGGAACUGAGACACGGUCCAGACUCCUACGGGAGGCAGCAGUGGGGAAUAUUGCACAAUGGGCGCAAGCCUGAUGCAGCCAUGCCGCGUGUGUGAAGAAGGCCUUCGGGUUGUAAAGCACUUUCAGUCGUGAGGAAGGUGGUGUAGUUAAUAGCUGCAUUAUUUGACGUUAGCGACAGAAGAAGCACCGGCUAACUCCGUGCCAGCAGCCGCGGUAAUACGGAGGGUGCGAGCGUUAAUCGGAAUUACUGGGCGUAAAGC